UGGGGAAUAUUGGACAAUGGGCGAAAGCCUGAUCCAGCAAUGCCGCGUGUGUGAAGAAGGUCUUCGGAUUGUAAAGCACUUUCGACGGGGACGGAUGAUGACGGUACCCGUAGAAGAAGCCCGGCUAACUUCGUGCCAG
rnacentral:rRNA from 1 species